rnacentral:antisense_RNA from 1 species
UGCUCCUAGCAUUAACUACGUCGUUAAACCCUUCUGAAUUUAUUUCGUCUGUGAAAUGGGGAAAAGAUAGCCACCUUGCAUAACUGGUGAAGAAUUCGUAAACUGACAGAAGAAUCUAGUAAGAGGACUGGCCCGUGGUCGGCUCUUAAUGGUGUCACAGAAUAAAGAAAAAGACUGGGAGAGAGAUGGGAGCUGAUAGACCAGAGGAGACCAAAGACUGAAACUGAAGACUAAACCAUGGAAAUUGGGAACAAGCACUUACUCGCUUAGAGGGUGAAAAAAGUGAAUUUGCCUACAGGGCCAAUUUGGAAGCACCUCUCCCCGGAAGCCAGUCAAUGAAGAGCCAUUGGAGGAUUUUAAAUAAGGAACCGAAAAAUGGAGUCUGAAAAUAGAGGCGCAGAGACCGGUCAACCACAAUGAAGAACAAGCCAUUUUGACCUCCAUCCUGGCUCAUCUCCUCUGUGUUCUCAUAGCAUCAUAUUAUAGAAUGGAUCACAAA